rnacentral:rRNA from 1 species
UACGAAGGGGGCUAGCGUUGCUCGGAAUCACUGGGCGUAAAGCGCACGUAGGCGGACUCUUAAGUCGGUGGUGAAAUCCUGGAGCUCAACUCCAGAACUGCCUUUGAUACUGGCGAUCUUGAGUCCGGGAGAGGUAAGUGGAACUGCGAGUGUAGAGGUGAAAUUCGUAGAUAUUCGCAAGAACACCAGUGGCGAAGGCGGCUCACUGGCCCGAUACUGACGCUGAGGUGCGAAAGCGUGGGGAGCAAACAGG